rnacentral:rRNA from 1 species
CCUACGGGCGGCAGCAGUGGGGAAUAUUGCACAAUGGGGGGAACCCUGAUGCAGCAACGCCGCGUGGAGGAUGGAGGUUUUCGGAUUGUAAACUCCUUUUGUUAGGGAAGAUCAUGACGGUAUCCAACCUAUAAGCCACCGCUAAAUCCGUGCCAGCAGCCGCCGUUAUACGGAGGGUGCAAGCGUUUCUCCGAAUCACUGGGCGUAAAGGGCGGGUAGGCGGGAUCGUAAGUCAGAUGUGAAAUCCUGGGGCGCAACCCUAGAACUGCAUUUGAAACUGGUCUUCUAGAGUGUGGGAGAGGUAGGAGGAAUUCUUGGUGUAGGGGUAAAAUGCGUAGAGAUCAAGAGGAAUACUCAUGGCGAAGGCGACCUACUAGAACAUAACUGACGCUGAGGCGCGAAAGCGUGGGGAGCAAACAGGAUUAGAUACCCGAGUAGUC